CGUUUUGAACGGUACAUGUUGCAUGUGGCGCGCAUUCUUUCAGUGAGUGAAUCGAAGUAUAAAAACCAGAAUAAACUCGUAUCGAACUCAGAGAUAAACAAUAUGAACUACCUGAAGUGGUGUGCAAAAGCUUAACGACAAAGAAAACAAGUGCAUCAAAUGAAUAUAGAAGAAAAAUCAAGUCUGUGUUGUUUAGUGUAGAAAAAGGCGAAUUUAAUUGACAAAGACAGCGUCAAUUGUGAACUGCAAAAUUGUGGACAACGCGCACACACAAACAAGCACAGGUGUCUGGCGUAGCCGAACAUUUGAGCCGAGUCGAGUCAGUUCGUGCCGACUCGUCGUCAUCGUCGUCGUCGUGGUGUGUGUUUAUUUAACACAGUUACUCGGGCUUUGGCCACUCAGUUCGUAUUUGUAGCUCGUGCCGUGCGUUCGUCCUUCACCCAUACACACAUCCACUCACACUCAUACACACAGAACACGCUCGCUUUUGUAGCGAACUGUGCUUGAUCCGAGUAUUCGCGCUUAUCGCGGCGAACAUGUGAGAACAGUCGAACAGUCGAACAGUUCGAACAGUCGAUCAGUCGAUGCGCUCUGGCUCAAUGGUAAACAACGUGCUCAAGCACACGCGCUCGACACAUUUGCAUCGUUUUAGUUGUUGAGUCAAAUAACAGCUGCGUCUGAUCCACACACACGUCUCCGUGUGUGUGUGUGUGUGUGCGUGAGUGCGCGCAUCUCUGUGUGAGCAGAGCCUACGUUUUAGUUCAUAGCGACGACCAGGAACAGCCAGCGCCAUGUGCUCCAUGGCCAAGUUGGCUUGGCUGCUCGCGCUAGCCGCUCAAAUAAUUUAUGUGGAUUACGCUCGGGCGGAUUAUGAGAACACUUGGAAUUUAUAUUACGAGCCGCCGUGCUGCACGGGCGCCGCAGCAGCUGUUGGCCAUCACCUGCGGCAUCACAAAGAGCAUGUCAAGGACUUCAGCUGCGGCCCGCUGCAUUACAAAACCUUUUACAUGGACGAGCGCAACAAUGCGCUCUAUGUCGGCGCCAUGGAUCGCAUUUUUCGCCUGAAUCUGCGCAACAUCAGCCAAUCGAUAUGCGAGCGCGAUGUUCUCAUACUAGAACCCACCGGCUCCGAUAUACUCAACUGUGUGUCCAAGGGCAAGCGAGAGAAGGUGGAAUGCCGCAAUCACAUUCGCGUCAUUCAGCCCAUGAACUUCAAUGGACAUCGACUCUACGUCUGCGGCACCAAUGCGCACAACCCCAAGGACUACGUUAUAAAUGCGAACUUAACACAUUUACCCAGAUCCCAGUACGUGCCCGGCAUAGGGUUGGGCAUCGGCAAGUGUCCCUACGAUCCCGCUGACAACUCAACCGCCGUCUAUGUGGAAAACGGAAAUCCCUUUGGUUUGCCUGCGCUGUACGCGGGAACCAAUGCGGAAUUCACUAAGGCCGACUCGGUUAUAUUUCGCUCGGACCUCUUCAACUUCACCAACGGCCGCAAAGAGGCCAACUUCAAGCGCACAGUUAAAUAUGACUCCAAAUUGCUUGACAAACCGAAUUUCGUUGGCUCCUUCGACAUUGGCGACUUUGUCUACUUCUUCUUCCGUGAGCAUGCCGUGGAGUAUAUCAAUUGCGGCAAGGCCGUCUAUUCGCGUGUGGCACGCGUCUGCAAGAACGAUCGCGGCGGCAAAUACAUGAUCAGCCAGAACUGGGCGACGUAUCUGAAGGCGCGCAUGAACUGCAGCAUCUCGAGCGAGUUUCCCUUCUACUUCAACGAAAUACAGUCCGUCUACAAGAUGCCCAACGAUGAUAGCAAAUUCUAUGCCACGUUUACAACGAAUACAAACGGACUGAUUGGCUCGGCCGUCUGCAGCUACGAUAUACGGGAUAUCAAUGCGGCCUUUGAAGGCAAGUUCAAGGAGCAGGCGACAUCGAACAGCGCCUGGCUGCCAGUGCUGAACUCAAAAGUGCCGGAGCCACGUCCGGGCACAUGCCACAACGACACCGCAACAUUGCCGGACUCUGUGUUAAAUUUCAUACGCAAACAUCCGCUAAUGGACAAGGCGGUCGAUCAUGAAUUUGGCAAUCCUGUAUUCUACAAACGAGACGUUAUACUCACCCGCCUCGUCGUCGACAAAAUACGCAUUGACAAACUGAACCAGGAGUUUCUCGUUUACUUUGUGGCCACAAGCACUGGACACAUCUAUAAAAUAGUUCAGUUCAUGCACUACGGCCAACGGCAUUCGAAUCUGGUGGAUAUCUUUGAGGCGUCGCCGCGCAACGAGCCAAUACGCGAACUGACGCUCAGCCAGAAGACAGCCUCACUCUAUCUGGCUACUGAUCAUCAGGUGAAGCAGAUCGAUUUAGCCAUGUGCGCGCGUCGCUACGACAGCUGCUUCCGCUGCGUGGCAGAUCCCUAUUGCGGCUGGGACAAGGAGGUCAACGCCUGCCGGCCCUACCAGCUGGGCCUGCUGCAGGACGUGGCCAACGAGACGUCCGGCAUAUGCGAUACGAGCGUGCUGCGCAAGCGCGUCACCUCCUCCUACGGCCAGACGCUGCACCUGUCCUGCUUCGUCAAGAUGCCCGAUGUGCUGCGCAAGAAGCAGACGCGCUGGUACCAUCACUCCACGGAGAAAGGACGUUACGAGGUGCGCUAUACCCCCACGAAAUACAUUGAGACCAACGAAGGCGGCUUGGUAUUGUUGGCUGUGAAUGAGGGCGAUGGCGGCCGAUAUGAUAGCUAUCUGGAUGGCACCCUUCUCUGCAGCUAUGGCGUCACUGUGGAUGCGCACAGAUGCUCGCCUCCUUCACAGAAGCAGGACUAUCAGAAGAUCUACUCGCACUGGUGCAAUGAGUUCGAAAAAUACAAAUCAGCCAUGAAGCAAUGGCAGGCUAAGCAGGAGCAAUGCGGCCUCAAGGACAAAGCAGCACCAAACAGCAACGGCGGCAGCAGCAGCAGCACCAGCAGCAGCAGCAACAGCAACAGCAAUGGCAAACAUGUCAACGAUGUGUUUAGCAACGACGCCCUGGUCUGACCCAGAAAGUACUUGUUCAACUCUGAGUUCUUGUCGGCGGGUGUACGCCCCAAUUUCGGCCACCAAUUCUACAUUUUCGUGUUUCUGCUAGCCAUGUGCACUAGUUUCUAAAAGUCUCUAGUUGAAUCGGCAGCAGCAGCAACAGCAGCAACAGCAGCAACAGCAACGAGCAGCAUCAGGAAGGAGAGUACCAGCACCCAGAAAGCAGUGACAAGAGCCGAGCAACCAACUACAAAGACUGAAAUUUUUAAGCUUUUGAAAGACAAUAUUUCAAUAUGUUUUCAAUAUGUUUUUUUGCUUCAUUUACAUAUAUAUAGCAAUUGUUUAGUGCUCUUCGUUUGGCAUUCGAAUUAACAACAGCAAAUAUCAAAUAACAAAAGUUUCACAGUGAAAAUUCAACAACACGAACAGCAGCCGAUUUGAUUGAUUUCGAUUUUAAGGUACACAGAGAACAUAUAGCCAGAAUGAAGCAGAAAGCGCUAAGCAAGUGUAAAGAGUAAACGCUAAAAAGUUACUAACAAAAGGAUCCUGCCAUAAUGAAAAAUGGAAAAUACGGUUUUACAUAGAACAGAGUGUCUCUCUCUCUCUCUCUAUCUAUCUAUAUCUCUCUCUCACUCUCUCUUUCUACUUCUAUUUCAAUUGCGAUUGCGAUUGAGAUUGAGAUUGCUUCAAGAAUGAAAGAAAGAUAACUAAAUUAUGCUAAGAUAUUUACUCGUAACCACCUACAGGACACACACAGCCGACACAGACCCACACACACUCAAGCACAUAUUUGAGCUCAACAUUUUCUCGCCUCAGUUUGUGUAUAUUAUUUAUAUAUUUGUGCAUUGCGAACGGCACAAAUCGAAUACAAAUAUGCUAAAAAAAGAAGACAACGUCGCUUGGCCAUGGGAAGAUCUUAAACGAAUUUGUAUAUUAACUAGCAAUAUUUGUUUAAUAAUUCUAGUAUUAGUUGUACGCAUAGCUAUGUAUAAAUAGUUCGUAGAUAUUGUAUGGAGAACGAGUAUAAAUACAAAGCUCUGUAUUUUACGGAACCAAAAUUUCAGCAAAUACUUCUAGACAGCCCAUCUUCUGCUAGGUUAAGGCCAGUUUGUACAUAGCGCUGCUUUAGUUGUAAUCGCCAUACUCUAACCGUAUAUUAAGUGUCUCGUAUAUUUGAUUUUAACUUUCAUUUGAAACUCGAGUUUUUUGUGGCUAUAUGAAAACACGCUGACGGCAUUUCGGCCGUUGUUGUAUAGAUUGCGCGUUAGCCUAAUGUUUACUAUAAGCAAUAUAUAUGCAUAUACACAUAGUUACUGCAUUGAGACCAACAUGCUCAUACACACACACUCACACUCAUAUAUAUAUAUAUAUAUACUUAACCAUAGCUGUAAGUAAGUUGGUGUGGCAAAUACAUUUUAGUAAAUCUCCAAAUGGCAGUCGGGCAAGUUGAAGUAGUGAGAAAUGCAUUCGCAAGCUCCCCAUUGAAAACUUAUUGAAAAUAUUAAUAUAGCUGCCAACAAGUAAACUGGAAUGCAUUUUGAACACACACACUCCCAGACACACUCACACAUACAUGGAAAACUAAACGCUUCUCUGAACGAUGAGCCAUGCGUGGAGCGUGGCGACAUUAUCGAAGAAGUGCAUAUACAACUAACCCAUAUGUACUUACAAAUACUUAUUAUAUACAUACAUAUAUAUAUAUAUAUACAUACAGGCAUACAAAGAUAUGUGUAUGGUACGUAAAUUAAUGAAAUAUUUUUCUAAAAGUUUUCUCAGCAAAAGCCACAAGACAAAAUUUUAAUGUUUCCAUCUAAAACUUAUCCACGAACACAAACACGCAGAAACCGAACACACAGAUACGUUUUAGCUUAGUCCUCGGAUCUUAACAUUGUAAAUGAACCACAAAUAAAAUAUGUAUUUUUCAGCUAAUAGUGCUCUGAGCUUCUGACUUGAUACACAAGUUUCCUUUGCUUUUCGUAGACCUUUCAGUUUUGAUUUAUUGUAAAUAAUUCAAAGAUUAUGUGAAAUGUUUUGUAUGACAAUCACAUGAUGUUGAGCAAAUAAAAGUAUGAUGACCCGUAAAUGAAGCAAAUUGCAAUGUCAGUAUUUGAAUAAAAAUUAAAAAAAAAAAACAAA